GAUCAUGGCUCAGGAUGAACGCUGGCGGCAUGCCUAAGACAUGCAAGUCGAACGAGAUGGCCCAGUGAAGGUUGCGUGCUUGCACAAGACUGAAUCUGGAUUCCCAUCUAGUGGCAGACGGGUGAGUAACACGUGGGUGACCUACCUUUUCGUUGGGGAUAACAGUUGGAAACGAUUGCUAAUACCGAAUAAAAUGUAAGAGUCAAUUUUACAUUGAAAGGAGCCUUUAAAGCUUCGCGUA
rnacentral:rRNA from 1 species